GAUGAAGAACGCAGCGAAAUGCGAUAAGUAAUGCGAAUUGCAGAAUUCAGUGAAUCAUCGAAUCUUUGAACGCACAUUGCGCCCGCCAGUACUCUGGCGGGCAUGCCUGUCUGAGCGUCAUUUCAACCCUCGCGCCCGGCUUCUGUCGGGGGCGGUGUUGGGGAUCGGCCUCCCGUCUUCCGGGCGGCCGGCCCCUAAAUGGAGUGGCGACCGCGCCGUAGCCUCCUCUGCGUAGCAGUGAAACACUCGCGGGCGGAGAGCGGUGCGGCCCGCCGUAAAACCCCCAACUCUUCUAAGGUUGACCUCAGAUCAGGUAGGAAUACCCGCUGAACUUAAGCAUAUCAAUAAGCGGAGGA
rnacentral:misc_RNA from 1 species